rnacentral:rRNA from 1 species
CCUACGGGCGGCAGCAGUGAGGAAUAUUGGUCAAUGGCCGGAAGGCUGAACCAGCCAAGCCGCGUGAGGGAGGAAGGCGCAGAGCGUCGCAGACCUCUUUUGCCGGGGGACAAAAGGCCGGACUCGUCCGGUCCUGAGGGUACCCGGAGAAAAAGCAUCGGCUAACUCCGUGCCAGCAGCCGCGGUAAUACGGAGGAUGCGAGCGUUAUCCGGAUUUAUUGGGUUUAAAGGGUGCGUAGGCGGAUUGAUAAGUUAGAGGUGAAAUGUCCGAGCUUAACUCGGGAACUGCCUCUAAUACUGUUGAUCUAGAGAGUAGAUGCGGUAGGCGGAAUGUAUGGUGUAGCGGUGAAAUGCUUAGAUAUCACGAAGAACUCCGAUUGCGAAGGCAGCUUACUAAACUGCCACUGACAUUGAUGCUCGAAAGUGUGGGUAUCAAACAGGAUUAGAUACCCUUGUAGUC